rnacentral:rRNA from 1 species
GUCUACGACCAUGUCACCCUGAACAAGCCCAAUCUCAGAAGCUAAGCAGGGUCGGACCUGUUUAGAACUUGGAUGAGAGACCACCUAGGAAGACCAGGUGCUGUAGGUG